rnacentral:rRNA from 1 species
UACAGAGGGUGCAAGCGUUAAUCGGAAUUACUGGGCGUAAAGCGUGCGUAGACGGUCAUGUAAGUCGGGUGUGAAAGCCCCGGGCUCAACCUGGGAAUUGCAUUCGAGACUGCAUGGCUAGGGGUGCGGAAGAGGGAAGCGGAAUUUCCGGUGUAGCGGUGAAAUGCGUAGAUAUCGGAAGGAACACCAGUGGCGAAAAGCGGCUUCCUGGUCCCAGCACCCGACGUUCAGGCACGAAAGCGUGGGGAGCAAAC